UACUCCCGCCGGCGACCGGCGCACGGGUGAGUAACACGUAUGAAACCUGCCGUAGCAGGGGGAUAAGCGGAAGAAAUUCCGUCUAAUACCGCGUAACAACCCGAGGAGGCAUCUCCUCGGGUUUAAAGGAAGCGAUUCCGGCUACGGAUGGUCAUGCGUCGCAUUAGCUAGUUGGCGGGGUAACGGCCCACCAAGGCGACGAUGCGUAGGGGUUCUGAGAGGAAGGUCCCCCACACUGGUACUGAGACACGGACCAGACUCCUACGGAAGGCAGCAG
rnacentral:rRNA from 1 species